GGAGAGGUGGCUGAGUGGUUGAAAGCGGCGGUCUCGAACACCGUUAUUCCCGAAAGGGGAUCUAGAGUUCAAAUCUCUACCUCUCCG
rnacentral:tRNA from 1 species